rnacentral:lncRNA from 1 species
AAAACUUGGAAUUCGAAGAAUAUUUUAAUAUUUUGGACUUCAAAGACGCUAUUGUUUUUUGUCGAUUUAGAACGACUAAUACUAAGCUGCCGAUUGAAACAGGAAGAUGGCAAAACGUGAUCAGAGAAAACCGCUUUUGCAGUCUAUGUAACAAUCGACAAAUAGGUGACGAAUAUCAUUUUAUAUUUGAAUGCAAUUUUUUCCAUCAAAAACGCAAAGAGUUUUUAACUGCAUAUUUUACAAAACGGCAAAAUACAGU